CGGAGGAGGAGGGAUGGAGGCGAGAGAGAAUAUAUUUUAUUAUACGCAGGCUGUCGACGAUAGUUAGUAUAUCAGUUUGUGACCGUAAGUGCACGGAUUAUCGUAGCUUUUUCUUUAGAGUAUUCCAUCUAAGGUUUAUCAAUCUGUUGAUCGGCAGCAAACUAAUUAGGGUUCUUUAUCUAGCUAAACGGAUCUAAUUCUAUUAUAAAGCAUGAAUUGCGUAUAAAGGUAAACACAAUCGUGAGAUAAAUAUUAUAGGGUAAAUAGAGCACAUCUAUAUAUAUGAGGUAACACAACCAAAGAUAACAUGAGCAUAUUGUCUUCUUGUUGUAGUUCCAGCCAAAAUGGUAACCAAUCUAUGUAGCACCUUGACAAACAAUCAUCUCUUAGAAAGGCAACUCGCAAGCGGCCAACUUUCUUGUGGUCACCACUACGACGCCUCUGAUUUUCCAAAGCUUUACCUCAAACGACUACCACAUUACUCACCAUCGAUCCUACUCAAUAUUACGCAAUCGUUCGGCCUUUUCCCUCCCACAUGCUGUCACCAUGCAAAGAUAAUC
rnacentral:lncRNA from 1 species